UGCUUUGACUGCGAUAGCAAACAUUGAAAUUACAGUAACCCAUGGAUCAUAUUGAUAAGGCUCAUUAAGAGCAAGUGGGUGACCCAACUGACUGAUUUGUAAUAUGUUGUUUGGGUAGGCUCAAUGACGUCUGAGGCAGAUUAUGUACGCUGACAGUAUCCAGUACUCUGGUUUCCUCACAUUGCUUCGCAUAAAGUGAAGUAUCGGUGUUGCUUUCAAUAAGCUUCAGCACCAGAGAACAGCCCUAUUUAUAGCCAUAAGUGGACACCCAACAAGAGACGUACACCUGAGCAGAGGCAUGGUGAUACAGUACACAUAUUUGUGUUUGGUUUCUACACACUCUCUGGUAUCUGGGAAAAGGAUACAAAAAAAUGUCGAUCAACUGACUGUGAAAAUUUUACGUAUGUUAGGCCGGGCAAACUGAUUCACAGUUUAACGUUCCCAUCCACUUCAUAUUCUGGGAAAGCAAAAUAAGUUUCAGUAUUCAUUAUAUAAAACACAUGACACCUCGCACGUGCAUGUCUCGUGUUGCACACGUUAGUUUUCACAAUAUGGCUUCCUUCGUAAGCGUGCAUGUGUACA